rnacentral:lncRNA from 10 species
UUUCUCUGAAGGUAAGAGAAGUAUGCUUGAGUACGUGAUUGAUUGCUGACCAAAAUAAGAUAUUGGCAAUAAACACUUAAGUACUUUUUAGAAAGCAGACUUCAUAAACUGAUUUGUGAUUCUUCUUUCCUUCCUUUAGACAGUAAAAGAAAAGGGAUGUAACAGGUGAAACAAGACUGACCAUGUUUUAAUAAGCUGGCUAAUAGAUUCGGGUGUACAUGUGCAGGUCUGUUACCUGGGAAUACUGCGUGAUACUGAACUUUGGGGUACAAGUGAUCCUGUCACCCAGGUACUGAGCACAGUACCCAACAGGUAGUUUUUCAACCCUCUCCCUCUAGUAGUCCCCAGUGUGUAUUGUUGUCACCUCUAUGUCCAUGAGUAGCCAGUGUUUAGCUCCCACUUAUAAGUGAGAAUACACGUUAUUUGGUUUCCUGUUCCUCCCUCAAUUCACUUAGGAUAAUUGCUUCCAACUGCAUCUGUGUUGCUGCAAUUUAUUUAUUUAUUUAUUUAUUUUUUUGAGACAAGGUGUCACUCUGUUGCCCAGGCUGGAAUGCAGUGGCACAAUCUCAGCUCACUGUAAACUCCACCUCCUGGGCUCAGGUGAUCCUCCCACUUCAGCCUCCCAAAUAGCUGGGGCCACAGGUGUGCACCACCACACCUAGCUAAUUUUUUUGUAUUUUUUGUAGAGACAGGGUUUUGCCACCUUGCCCAGGCUGGUCUCAAACUCCUGGACUCAAGCAAUCUGCCUGCCUCAGCCUGUCAAAGUGUGGGAAUUACAGGCAUGAGCCACCGCACCAUCCUGAUUUCAUUCCUUUUUAUGGCUGUGUAGAAUUCCAUGGUGUAUAUGUACCACAUUUUCUUUAUUCAAUCCUCCACUGAUGGCCACCUAGGUUGAUUGCAUGACUUUGCUACUGUGAAUAGUGCUACAAUGAAUAUUCAAGUGCUUAUGUCUUUUUGGUAGAACAAUUUGUUUUCUUUUGGAUAUAUACCUAGUAAUGGGAUUGCUGGGUCAAAUCAUAGUUCAGUUUUAACUUCUUUGAGAAAACCCCAAACUGUUUUCAACAGCGGCUGAACUAAUUUACAUUCCCACCAACAGUGUACGAGCAUUUCCUUUUCUACACAGCCUACCAACAUCUGUCGUUUUUUGACUUUUUAAUAAUAGUUGUUCUGGGGCUGGGAGUGGUGGCUCACACAUGUAAUUCCAGCACUUUGGGAGGCUAAGACAAGAGGAUCGCUUGAGCUCAGGAAUUCAAGGCCAGCUUGGGCAACAUGACAAAACCUGGUCUCUACAAAAAAUACAAAAAUUAGCUGGGCAUGGGGGCAUGCACCUGUAGUCCCAGCUAUUCAGGAGGCUGAGGUAGAAGAAUCUCUUGAGCCUGGGAGAUUGAGGCUGCAGUGAGCUAUGAUCAGGCCACUGCACUCCAGCCUGGGUAACAGAGUGAGAUCCUGUCUCUAAAAAAUAAAUUUUAAAAAAGUAUUAUUAGGUCCCACUUUUCAAUUUUUGGUUUUGUUGCAAUUGCUCGAGGGCUUCAUCAUAAUUAUUUCCCAGAAGUCCUUUCCAAAAACACAAUAUAUUGAUCAGAAAUAAGAAUCCUCUCAUGAGUUGUAACCACUUGCAAAAUCAAAACCAAAUUGGUAAAAUGAGUAACCAAAUUGGUUUACUCUUUUUUUUGUUUUUUUUUGUUUUUUUGAGGUUUGCAGCUAUUUUAUUUACAAGUAUACAUUUAACACAAUGAAAUAAACACUGAUAUAUUGAAGCCUA